ACCUUUGUGCAGUGGCAGUGUCAUAGCCGAUGAGGUUAAUCUGAGGCGUGAUAUUGCUAGUUGAAAACUUUUCCCAAUACCCUGCAAUGAUGACUUGAAAUAUAGUCAGCAUUGGCAAUUUUUGACAGUCUCAUGUGAGA
rnacentral:snRNA from 1 species